rnacentral:rRNA from 1 species
GAAUAUUGCACAAUGGGGGAAACCCUGAUGCAGCCAUGCCGCGUGUGUGAAGAAGGCCUUCGGGUUGUAAAGCACUUUCAGUGGUUAGGAAGGCCGUAAGAUUAAUACUCUUUCGGAUUGACGUUAGCCACAGAAGAAGCACCGGCUAACUCCGUGCCAGCCGCCGCGGUAAUACGGAGGGUGCAAGCGUUAAUCGGAAUUACUGGGCGUAAAGCGUACGUAGGGGGCUUGUUAAGCAAGAUGUGAAAGCCCCGGGCUCAACCUGGGAAUGGCAUUUUGAACUGGCAAGCUCGAGUUUUGAAGAGGGUGGUAGAAUUUCCUGUGUAGCGGUGAAAUGCGUAGAUAUAGGAAGGAAUACCAGUGGCGAAGGCGGCCACCUGGUCAAAAACUGACGCUGAGGUACGAAAGCGUGGGGAGCAAACAGG